rnacentral:rRNA from 1 species
AAUGCCCGCAAGGGUGAUCCAGCCAUCCCGCGUGCAGGAAGAAUGCCCUAUGGGUUGUAAACUGCUUUUGUAAGGGAAGAAACCCCCUGAUGCGUUAGGGGUUGACGGUACCUUAAGAAUAAGCACCGGCUAACUCCGUGCCAGCAGCCGCGGUAAUACGGAGGGUGCAAGCGUUAUCCGGAAUCACUGGGUUUAAAGGGUGCGUAGGCGGCUAAAUAAGUCAGAGGUGAAAUGCUACGGCUUAACUGUGGAAUUGCCUUUGAAACUAUAUAGCUAGAAUAGAGUUGAGGUUGGCGGAAUGUGACAUGUAGCGGUGAAAUGCAUAGAUAUGCCAUAGAAUACCGAUUGCGAAGGCAGCUGACUAGACCUAUAUUGACGCUGAGGCACGAAAGCGUGGGGAGCGAA